GACGUAGGGGGCCAGCGUUGUUCGGAAUUACUGGGUGUAAAGGGUUCGUAGGCGGUGCGGCAAGUCGGGAGUGAAAUUUCUGGGCUCAACUCAGAGACUGCUUCCGAAACUGCUGUGCUGGAGUGUGGGAGAGGCGCGUGGAAUUGCAGGUGUAGCGGUGAAAUGCGUAGAUAUCUGCAGGAACACCCGUGGCGAAAGCGGCGCGCUGGACCACUACUGACGCUGAGGCACGAAAGCGUGGGGAGCAAACAGG
rnacentral:rRNA from 1 species